AGAGUCUCCAUCCAGCUGGAUCACUGUCACAGAAAAACCCACCACCACACUUCCGCCAACAUCCACCUCCAUCACUCUUCCUCCAUCACUCUCUCCUCCUGUUCUCUCUGUCUUGUCAUGUGUUGGAUCAGUCUGUGUUGUUGUUCUACUGGUGUUACUGGUUCUGCUGGUAAGACGAUGUGUUCACAGGAAACCUGAAGUCUGUGCUGUGAUGCUGAGAUGACGUGUUCACGGAAACCUCAAAGGUAAACAAGUAGGAGCUGGAUAAAACGACAUCACCAGUCACAUUAAGCAUGUUCACUGUCUAUAAGGACAUUUUUUGUCAAUAAUAUUAUUAUAUUAAGGCAGCACGGUGGCACGGUGGU